GACGAACGCUGGCGGCGUGCUUAACACAUGCAAGUCGAACGGAAAGGCCCUGCUUUUGUGGGGUGCUCGAGUGGCGAACGGGUGAGUAACACGUGAGUAACCUGCCCUUGACUUUGGGAUAACUUCAGGAAACUGGGGCUAAUACCGGAUAGGAGCUCCUGCUGCAUGGUGGGGGUUGGAAAGUUUCGGCGGUUGGGGAUGGACUCGCGGCUUAUCAGCUUGUUGGUGGGGUAGUGGCUUACCAAGGCUUUGACGGGUAGCCGGCCUGAGAGGGUGACCGGCCACAUUGGGACUGAGAUACGGCCCAGACUCCUACGGGAGGCAGCAGUGGGGAAUAUUGCACAAUGGGCGGAAGCCUGAUGCAGCAACGCCGCGUGCGGGAUGACGGCCUUCGGGUUGUAAACCGCUUUCGCCUGUGACGAAGCGUGAGUGACGGUAAUGGGGAAGGAAGCACCGGCUAACUACGU
rnacentral:rRNA from 1 species